ACUCCUACGGGAGGCAGCAGUAGGGAAUCUUCCACAAUGGGCGCAAGCCUGAUGGAGCAACACCGCGUGAGUGAAGUAAGGGUUUCGGCUCGUAAAGCUCUGUUGUUAAAGAAGAACACGUAUGAGAGUAACUGUUCAUACGUUGACGGUAUUAACCAGAAAGUCACGGCUAACUACGUGCCAGCAGCCGCGGUAAUACGUAGGUGGCAAGCGUUAUCCGGAUUUAUUGGGCGUAAAGAGAGUGCAGGCGGUUUUCUAAGUCUGAUGUGAAAGCCUUCGGCUUAACCGGAGAAGUGCAUCGGAAACUGGAUAACUUGAGUGCAGAAGAGGGUAGUGGAACUCCAUGUGUAGCGGUGGAAUGCGUAGAUAUAUGGAAGAACACCAGUGGCGAAGGCGGCUACCUGGUCUGCAACUGACGCUGAGACUCGAAAGCAUGGGUAGCGAACAGGAUUAGAUACCCCGUGGUAGGAUAGCG
rnacentral:rRNA from 1 species